rnacentral:snoRNA from 1 species
CAUCUAUUUUUGACAGACCUGGAGCAGUCAACAUCUGCUGCUAAGGUUUCCACUACAGAGGCAAGAAAAAGUGUUUCAUGAUUUCUGGCCUUUUGAUUGUGGUGGCCAGAUUGAAUGAGGACAUACAGGA